CUUUAAUUUUUCUUUUUAAUAUUUACGAGUCCAAACAUUUCUUGAUAUAUACAAAUCAUAAAAAACAGCACCCGAUUACUGGGUUUAGUAAUGACACAUCUGAGUGAUCAUCCGGCAAACUCAGAGAGCCGAUGAUGCAAUGUGAGUGUGACCCAUCUGCGCCAAAAACAGGAAAAGUUGAAAUCAAUUUGGAAAAUAGUGUUUGGCUGAUUUGGCCGUCCGAACCCAAUACCCAAAUUUAAUUCAGAAAAAGAAAUCGUGCUUCUUUAUUAUUAACAUUAGAAACGUUGUUGUAUUGGAUGUUAGAAGAGUCUUUGAGUGUCCCUCUUCGUCAAAUUGUCACUCUCCCUCUCCCCCUGUCUUUCUGUUGGGAGUUUCAAUUUGAAAAUUUUGAUUGUUGAGAGAGAGUGAUGAAGAGGUACAGAAAUGGCGAAAUCUGGGAUUUCGAACACGAAAUUCCAGUGUCUGGGAAUAAUCCAGUGAUAUUAGGAUUGGAUGGUGGAACAACAUCAACAGUCUGCAUUUGUAUGCCAAUUCUACCCUUCUCCACUCCUCUUCCCGACCCACUUCCCGUACUUGCUCGUGCCGUCGCCGGCUGCUCUAAUCACAACAGUGUUGGCGAAACUGCUGCUAGAGAAACACUUGAGGAAGUCAUGGCUGAUGCCCUUUUAAAAUCAGGUUCCAAUCGUUCUGCAGUUCAAGCUGUUUGUCUAGCUGUUUCAGGUGUUAACCAUCCAAACGAUGUGCAAAGAAUUUUGAAUUGGCUUAGGGACAUAUUCCCCAAUCAUGUAAAGCUAUAUGUUCAAAAUGAUGCUGUGGCAGCUUUGGCAAGUGGAACAAUGGGAAAGCUUCAUGGCUGUGUUUUAAUUGCUGGUACAGGGACUAUCGCUUAUGGAUUCACUGAAGAUGGCAAAGAAGCUCGGGCUGCAGGUGCAGGACCCAUCUUAGGUGACUGGGGAAGUGGAUAUGGAAUAGCUGCACAAGCAUUAACAGCAGUGGUAAGGGCCUAUGAUGGUCGUGGUCCUCAAACAAUUCUCACAUCUAGUAUUUUGCAGACUCUUGGUCUUUCUUCUCCAGAUGAACUUAUUGGGUGGACAUAUGCAGAUCCAUCUUGGGCUCGUAUUGCAGCGCUUGUUCCAGUCGUUGUAUCUUGUGCAGAGGCUGGUGAUGAAGUAGCAAAUAAAAUCUUGCAGGUUUCUGUUGAAGAGUUGGCUUUAAGUGUGAAAGCUGUUGUUCAAAGGCUUGGCUUGUGCGGCGAAGAUGGAAAUUCUUCUUUUCCCCUAGUCAUGGUUGGUGGUGUUCUUGAGGCAAAUAAGAGGUGGGACAUAGGGAAAGAGGUUGUAAACUGCAUCUACAGAGACUACCCUGGGGCUCUUCCUAUCCGGCCAAAGGUAGAGCCUGCAGUAGGGGCAGCAUUGUUAGCCUGGAACUUUUCCAUGAAAGAGAUUCACAAGGAAGCUUACAAAAGAUGACUAUUAGUUAGCCAAGAGUUGAAUUGUACAGAGUGCAGAAAGUGGCUCCUUAAGCAUUGUUUACCUUCGAAUGGUAUAAGGGACUCGGUUGUAUUUAGGGCUGCAAACAAAUCAGUUUGUGCACAAACAGUUUGAAUAAGAACUGGUUUGGCUAGCAGAUAUUUGAUUCUCCAAACCAUUUAAUACAAACACUAGGCCAAGCUUAUUCUGUCACUACUUCAUGUGUUACUUAUGUAAGAGUUUUCCAUAAGCUCAGCAGUGGCAGUCACCCUCACAAGCAUCUCUUUGCAUUUCCUUAUGAAAAUCAAUGCAAUGUG